rnacentral:rRNA from 2 species
UACUCUGUCGUGGGGGAUAACGUAGGGAAACUUACGCUAAUACCGCAUACGACCUACGGGUGAAAGCAGGGGACCUUCGGGCCUUGCGCGAUUGAAUGAGCCGAUGUCGGAUUAGCUAGUUGGCGGGGUAAAGGCCCACCAAGGCGACGAUCCGUAGCUGGUCUGAGAGGAUGAUCAGCCACACUGGAACUGAGACACGGUCCAGACUCCUACGGGAGGCAGCAGUGGGGAAUAUUGGACAAUGGGCGCAAGCCUGAUCCAGCCAUACCGCGUGGGUGAAGAAGGCCUUCGGGUUGUAAAGCCCUUUUGUUGGGAAAGAAAUCCAGCUGGCUAAUACCCGGUUGGGAUGACGGUACCCAAAGAAUAAGCACCGGCUAACUUCGUGCCAGCAGCCGCGGUAAUACGAAGGGUGCAAGCGUUACUCGGAAUUACUGGGCGUAAAGCGUGCGUAGGUGGU